CUGACUUCCUCCAUGUUCUUCUUAACUCAGUGCACCUUUGCCUCAGGAACCAAAGAUACCCAACUGUGGUGGGCUCGAAAACCAGGGGGAUGGUCUUCUGAACAGACAGGUACCCUGCCUCAUCCACCAUGCAUUCACCUGCAGAGACGGUCUGUCUCCUGAGGCACUCUCCCCUACCAUUUAUAAGAAGCCGUGUGUGAAGGGCCUUCUCCCAUACGUGCGUCAACCCCUAUUCAAGCCAGAAAGCCCAGUAGAUGCUAAAGGUGUAACUGGGCAGUUGUGACUCCCAAGGUAUGUUUCCUAACAGGUACCGAUUUCAUGUAUCAGAGACACAGCAAUGAAUCCAGAGCACCAGCUCUGUCAUGUUAAGGCACACUCCUCCUGCUGCUGCUCAGGUUCUGACAAGGUUUAUAUCCUUUAAAACCUUUUUUUUUUUUUUAAGUUUGCAUCUUAUUUUAAAAUAAAUUUCCCCCAGAUGCAAUAUCAGUUCCAAGAGGCAAAUAAUUUUUCUCAUUGUAUUAUAGAAUAGAACAUUUGCAAAAAUCAUUGCAAUUCUCAUAUUUGAAUCAAUUUCAGACCAGUGUCCUGUUAUCAGAGGCUGUCAGUGGGGUUUUGGUAUUAUUUUGGUUGAUUUUUAAAGUGGUGCAUUCUCUGCUGUUAUGAUUGAAUUGCCUGAAACAUCUUGUUUGCAGAGCUGUGAAAUAUUUUAAAGGCAUCAAUUGAAAUGAUGAGGCAUUGUCCAAAUUGAAAUUUAUUUCAUCCAAAAGUGUCCUGGACAUCCAGGUGGUAAUAAACAUUUUUCAGCCACGUACAAACUGUGAAUUGUAUUUGAAAUUAAAUCUCCGCAUUAAAAUCUGCAUUGCUGAGCCUCCCGCUGGCAGCCACCGUUCUUCGGAAAACUGACAUCUUCCCUGGCACCGACGGGGCAGGAGUUCUCAUGUGGAUAUUGCGGAUUUCCUACCACUCUUCAAGUAUCAGGACUUUAUGGCAAUAUAUACCUAAGAAGUACAAAGGCUGCGAGGUGUGUGAGGAAUACAGGAGGGGGCCACCUCAGGUUUAGUAAGGAUAGAUGUUUUUGUCUUGACACACAAGGGUGGAAACCAUUUUACAAACCUCUAUUAAAGCAGCAUAUUGCUGAUGUCACAAAUUAUGUCAUUUUUCAGCAAGCUGUUAGGUAGCAGCAGGAUACUUAGAGGUCCCAAUCUGAGUUCACAGCUUGAGGCCUCAUCAUCCAUUGAAGUCAAGAAAAUACUCCAGUCCCCUGGCCCUCUGUUUACAAAUAAUAUAUCAAGAAUCAGGAUACCCACAAAUGAACUUUCAGGCACUGAGCUAAAGGAAAUACAUUUUUCUGUGCUUUUUUUAAAUAUAUAUGCAUGCAUACAUGUUACACAUUUGUCUGUAUGUGUGUUUGUGUGCAUUUGUGUGUAGUACAACCGAAGUCCGCAGUUUGCCAUUAGAUUUUCUUUAAACAAGCAUUGUUUUUAUUCCUUGAAAUACAGACCUGAUUCUUCAUGACUAAUUUUGCACACAGAACCCCCACCAAAGCUGGAGAUAUCCACAUAGAAAAGGGGCAUAAAGUGCUCCCAUUCAUUUCUCCUUCUUAAAAUAGUGAGGUUUUUCUUUUAAUACCUAGUACUUCUAUAAUACAAAAGAGCUCUGUUUAAUAAGAUACACAUAAAAACAGAUUUAUCUAUAACAGAGUUGAGUACAAAAUAAAAUAACAGGAAUGUCUAUGCACAUAUUCAUUAGUACAGCAGAAUAGCUUGUUAGAGGCUCUCAUCAUCUCCUGGAUGAACCAUAUUUACACAUAUAUAUGUAUUUUCCCCCACUAGAGUGGAAUAAGCUAUCAUGUUUUUCUAACAAUGCACAUAUACCUGGAAGACGAUAGCCUACAUUAGAAGACAUAAAAUACAUAGCAUGUGGCCUGAGGUUGUGCAACAACCCAAGAGAAGGAAUUAAAUUCAAAGCUAACGGUGCCAAACUCAUCAGUGAGUGCUUUUACCCCCCUGUAUAUUAGUGGGAGCCAAAGACGGAGUGUCAAGGCACAGCUUUGAAUUCCCUGACUUUUGCCAGUGUGUUAACAUCACUCCCCGAACAGAAUGAGGGUACUGGCAGGGAUUUGGAUUAGAUGGCCAAGCAAGGCAUUUGUAUUCCCACACUCCCUAAACUGAUUCCAGUAUUUUGCUACUCAUUUACUGAUGGGGUUGGCUGUAACUUCCUCUACUGAAAAUGGUAUUACAGGGCUGGAUUAGCUUCUCCUCUAUAGCAUAUCCCUGAUGUAGUUGCCACUGCAACUAUCCCCCACUAUCUGUACAAUAAAUGCUGUCGCUUACAGAAACAUGAUUACAGGAUUAGAGUUAUUGGGCCUUCACCCAGACGAACACGGCGAAAUAGCAUAGCACUGGCACCUCUGAAAGCUGCACUGACCUCAGGCAUCUCUACAUCAAAGGCCACGGCCACAAUCUGAGCUUCAUUAGCUUUCAAGGCUGAAGUUACAGGAGCACUACUUCCUCAGCCGCUAAUGGGAAACACUCUCCUCCAUUUGCUGUUGAGGUGUUAAAAGUUCCUCUUAACAUCAGUUACUGAGCUACAGCUUCACCGGUAUCCCAGUAAAAUAAAAAUGACUUGUGGUGCGGGAGCUGAGUUCAAAUAAAAAUGCUGUGUUGGACAUCCCUUAUUCAAGAAAAUAGCAGCCACUGGUGCAGGGAUGCUUUGGGAGUGAGGACUACAGGGGGAGGCGCGACCCCAAAUCCCAGACUUGGAGCUAUAGGGAAAUUCCUGCAGCUCCUGAAGGGUUUCAUAUGGUUGUAACCAACUGUUUAAUGACUUAAGUAUCUGAAGGAUGCUCUGGUUUUCAUUUGUAGGAUGUGAUGCAGAUGAUUAUGCAGAGAGGGAGAGCUUGGAGCUAGCUGCAGUUCAGAGCACGUGCACCAUCGGGUCUGCACUCACCGUGAGAAACCUAUGAAUUGUGCUGAUAACUCUUCUAAACCCCCCUUGCUGAUCUGCACCUACAAGGAGGAGACUCGGGAGGUAGCAUUUAAUCCCACAGAGAGACAAGCUAGUCAGAGACAGAACCACAAGGUGGCAAAGCACUAGAACAGCUGUAGUUCAGGAUGAAUAACGGCCACCAAGCCAGGAAUCCUGUCUCCAAGGGUGCAUGUGCUGGAUGCCUAAUGAAAAGGAUAAGGGCAUGCACUGACACUUCCAAUGCACCUCUACAGCCCACUCACCUCCUCCAUCUGUAAGGGGCAGUGAGAUGCCUCAGCUCAUUGCACCACCUCAGACCCUGCACCAGCAGCCGUCUUUAUUUUCCUUCCACGCCUGUUGUCAUUUGCCUCCUGAGCCUAAUGGAAACCUGCCCUGGAUGGUAUCCAGCAUCAAUCCUGCUCUGAACCCCUUCAACGUCAGGAGGAGCAUGAACAUUUCCUCCCUCAUUACUGCCUUUCAAAGGCAGCCACAACCACAAAAACGAGACCUUGGGGAAGGAGAUGGGAGAGGAGAAAAUCUCUGCACGCACAAGCAAGGCCCCACCUGCCAGUUAUCCUCCCCGCUUUGUUCUUUGAAGAGGCAUCUCACC